CGACGGGGCGCAGGCGGACGACGGACGCCGGCGCGGUAAUACGAACACUAAAGCGAACAAAAAGAAGCACUGGUCCGUCGACCAGUGCC
rnacentral:sRNA from 10 species